AUCCCAGGGGUGAAAGAAUCACCUUGCAUGGGUCAAUCCCAGUAUUACAGGGGGUAUCCCAGGGGUGAAAGGAAAGCCUAGCAUGGGUCGAUCCUGAUAUAGAUUUACCACUGAUCAGCUGGUCAUCUGUAUUACAUGCUGUGCACAGAUUAUACAAGCAAUAAGAGUAAAGUAACAUAAUUGUUAUAAGAUACAUGACUCCACAAUAUUCAUAAAGGUACAGAAGCUAAUAAACCUCCCCAGUAAGAGUACAGGAUAUCAACUGCAGUCACUGAGCUCCAGGUUGCUUCGGGGCUUUGAGUCUUAUCAUAUCUUUUUGUAUUGUAUAGUAUCUUAUCAUGAGGCGGGGCCUGUCCCGACCCUUGUAAGAUAAUGUUUCUUGACUAGAGGCUUUGUAGACUACGUAAAGUAUAGUAUGGUCAUGUAUCGUACCGUAGACAUUGUGGCUCCAAUGGCCUAGUCAUAUAAUAUCUUUUGGCUUGCUAGUCCUA